CCUACGGGGGGCAGCAGUGGGGAAUUUUGGACAAUGGGGGAAACCCUGAUCCAGCCAUUCCGCGUGAGUGAAGAAGGCCUUCGGGUUGUAAAGCUCUUUCGGCAGGAACGAAAAGGUGUGGGCUAAUAUCCUGCAUCAAUGACGGUACCUGAAGAAGAAGCACCGGCUAACUACGUGCCAGCAGCCGCGGUAAUACGUAGGGUGCGAGCGUUAAUCGGAAUUACUGGGCGUAAAGCGUGCGCAGGUGGUUAUUUAAGACAGAUGUGAAAUCCCCGGGCUCAACCUGGGAACUGCGUUUGUGACUGGAUAGCUAGAGUGCGGCAGAGGGGGGUGGAAUUCCACGUGUAGCAGUGAAAUGCGUAGAGAUGUGGAGGAACACCGAUGGCGAAGGCAGCCCCCUGGGCCAGCACUGACGCUCAUGCACGAAAGCGUGGGGAGCAAACAGGAUUAGAUACCCCUGUAGUC
rnacentral:rRNA from 1 species